UUCUAAGUUGUUUUGUCUUUUGUCCAAUUGGUUUCUGUAAUUUUUGUCUUUUCUUCGUUCAGUGUGUAAUAAUAAGUUGUUUUGUCUUUUGUUAAUUUGUUUCUUUUGACGUUGUGCUGUUUUGCUCUUCCAGGCCACCGUAGGGUUUUGAUGAAUGGUAAAUAAAAAAUGUGUUUAGAAUUGUACCUUUUCUCAUAAAGGUAUAGCGGGAAUGGUCAAAAACUGGCUCUGGAAUGAAACUGUAGUUGACCAUCGGGUUCGUCCUCAUGUUCUUGAAGGACGUCAGCUCCACAAUACGACUGAUGACAUCGUCAGAAAGCGACAAGUCCAGUAGCCUUUGACAUGAUCAUACCAGGAGCCCCAUGGCACUGCAGGAACAACAGCCAGGUCAUUUCGACAAUCUAAUAUUGGACGUUCCUGAUGCUCAAACCUAUAUCUAUUGGGGAAAAUGUACAGCCCUUUGGAAUGAGAUGAAACUGCAAAUGUGUCUUAAUGACUCUUGGAGGGUCCAUUGUCGCCAGCAGGUCAAGACCUGAGGAUUUACAGCAAGUAAUGGGCGGCACGGCAGUGCGGCUGGAUCAAAAGAGAUGUCGGAAACGCUUUACUGAACCAAAAAGUUGCUUUAUUACGAGCGAGCGUCAUUAUACAGGACUGCAGUUCCUGGAGGAGGUCAGGUCAAGAAACUGAGGCACUUCUAACUUGGAGAAGCCAAACCAUCAGUUUUUAUAUUCCAUCUUCCUGUCUCUGUGUGUGUGUGUGCAAAGUCAGGAGAGCGCAUCCUGACCAUAAAAGGAAAAGUUUG